GGACGGGUGAGUAAUGCUUAGGAAUCUGCCUAUUAGUGGGGGACAACAUCUCGAAAGGGAUGCUAAUACCGCAUACGUCCUACGGGAGAAAGCAGGGGAUCUUCGGACCUUGCGCUAAUAGAUGAGCCUAAGUCGGAUUAGCUAGUUGGUGGGGUAAAGGCCUACCAAGGCGACGAUCUGUAGCGGGUCUGAGAGGAUGAUCCGCCACACUGGGACUGAGACACGGCCCAGACUCCUACGGGAGGCAGCAGUGGGGAAUAUUGGACAAUGGGGGGAACCCUGAUCCAGCCAUGCCGCGUGUGUGAAGAAGGCCUUAUGGUUGUAAAGCACUUUAAGCGAGGAGGAGGCUACUUUAGUUAAUACCUAGAGAUAGUGGACGUUACUCGCAGAAUAAGCACCGGCUAACUCUGUGCCAGCAGCCGCGGUAAUACAGAGGGUGCGAGCGUUAAUCGGAUUUACUGGGCGUAAAGCGUGCGUAGGCGGCUUAUUAAGUCGGAUGUGAAAUCCCCGAGCUUAACUUGGGAAUUGCAUUCGAUACUGGUGAGCUAGAGUAUGGGAGAGGAUGGUAGAAUUCCAGGUGUAGCGGUGAAAUGCGUAGAGAUCUGGAGGAAUACCGAUGGCGAAGGCAGCCAUCUGGCCUAAUACUGACGCUGAGGUACGAAAGCAUGGGGAGCAAACAGGAUUAGAUACCCUGGUAGUCCAUGCCGUAAACGAUGUCUACUAGCCGUUGGGGCCUUUGAGGCUUUAGUGGCGCAGCUAACGCGAUAAGUAGACCGCCUGGGGAGUACGGUCGCAAGACUAAAACUCAAAUGAAUUGACGGGGGCCCGCACAAGCGGUGGAGCAUGUGGUUUAAUUCGAUGCAACGCGAAGAACCUUACCUGGCCUUGACAUACUAAAACUUUCCAGAGAUGGAUUGGUGCCUUCGGGAAUCUAGAUACUGCUGCAUGGCUGUCGUCAGCUCGUGUCGUGAGAGUUGGGUUAAGUCCCGCAACGAGCGCAACCCCUUUUCUUACUUGCCAGCAUUUCGGAUGGGACUUUAAAGGAUACUGCCAGUGACAAAUGGGGGACGUCAAUCAUCA
rnacentral:rRNA from 1 species